GAGCUGGGGUUCAGUGGAGAAACUCCCUGCGAUGAGCCACUGGGGUCAUGCACAGGGAACUUUUUGAUGAGCGCUGAGUGGCUGGAAAGUCCUCCCGGCCAGCCCCCUCCCGGUACUUCCCUGCAGCCUGCACCCGGAAAGCAUGGUGCUUUACAGUAGAGCUGGUUGGUGCUGUGCAAUAAUGAAAUCAUCCCUGAGACCCUGAUGGUUUUGCAUGGUGCUGCUGCAGAAGCCAGAUCCCGAGUGUGCAUCUGGAAGCACAGCUGGGCAACUUUCCAGGAGUGUUUGGCGCAGAAGACUGAGAAUGGAUAUUGGAUCCUUGCAAGCUUGUAACUCUCAUCUGUGGUCCUCAUAAUAUGGCGGUUGCCACGCCCUUCACCCCCGGCAAGGAAAAAGGUCAGAGUCUGGUCCCAUGACUGUGACGGGCUCCCUGUGGAAAAGUCACAGCCUGACUCAGGAAUACACAUCAUUUCCCAUCCCCGAGGGCUGCGUCGGGGCCACAAGGUUAGCAACAGAACACGGAUACUUUUCUAAAGGAAAGGUAGAUGAACACCCCACGUCUCUGGUUGCUGCUAUGUGAAAAUUCUCUGCAAUUUAGCAGAGAACUUAGAAGCAUGUGAGAGGACAGGGGAGCGCCGCUAAGAUCAUGGACUGAAACCAGGAGGCUGAAGGGCAUGUGGGUGGGGUAGCAGCACGGACUCAUCAUGCUCCACCAUGCAGGAACCCCAGGGUGCCAGGAAGAGCAGCUAGAGCUGAUCCACAACCUUGGCUCUGCAGCGUGGAAGGGUGGAGGUUCGCCUCCAGGCGGCCAGAGCCCCAGGACAGUCAGGGAGAGAGAAGAGGGCCAUUUGCUGGAGACAGAGUCGCCCAUGGGCUGAGCAGAGCAGGGAGUCCGGCUGGGGGCCACCGGCGCACUUUCUUCCCCUUGACCUUUGCCCGAAUCUGGGCACCGAGAGGUCUGGAUCGUGUUGUCUGCAGCGACACCUGCAGGCCAGCUGUGGAAUAGCGGUACUCUGAGGACUCCUCAGGUCCUAGAAAAAGUUGACUUGAGCACUUGCUGAGAGAGCGGAUACUCGUUUUACGACUCGAGCUGCACACCCGGCACAGUGUCAGGGAGCACCCCGCACUAUCCUGGAAGCACCAGCUCUGCUCCUCCCAUGCCCACAAUUGGUCCACGUGCGCGCAGGCCUCAUGUGUUUGUUAUUUAUGCUUUUUAUGGACUCUCCCCAAAGAGAAGGAAUCCGGAGUUCUGACCUCCGUCCAUGAUCGAGGAUCAGGAACGCUGUCUCAUUUGCCAAGGCGUUGGAAAUCAGAUGGGCCGGACACAUAAUGCGAUUUGGAGAUGACUGCUGGACUAGCACUGUUACCAACUGGAUUCCACAGGACGUUAAAAGAACGCCUGGCUGGCCACCUACAAGAUGGUCAGACUUCUUCGUCAAGACCCUGAAUGAACGGUUUGAGGCUCUUUGUGUUCCUGGAGCGAGCAGACGCCAUUGGGCUACACUAGCACACGACAGGGACAAAUGGAGAUAUCACUGGCGUCAGCUCAAACAAAUCAAUGAGCAACGGGAUGACAAGUGAUACAAGUGAUGGAUUCUCCCCAGGGCCUGUGUGUGAUAGACUUUAUGCUCUUUAAUCCUCACCAUCUCUCUGAUAGGACAGUCUCAUGAGCUCAGAAACUCAAAGCUCAGAAAGGUUCAGAAAGCACCUGAGUGUUCCAGCCCCUCCUGCUUCCUGCACACGUUCAGAUCUUAAACAAAUUCAGAGGUAGGGGCAUAAACCACAGAUUAAAUUUUCUA